CCUACGGGAGGCAGCAGUGAGGAAUAUUGGUCAAUGGGCGCGAGCCUGAACCAGCCAAGCAGCGUGAAGGAUGACUGCCCUACGGGUUGUAAACUUCUUUUAUCAGGGAAUAAAGUCAGGCACGUGUACCUGUUUGUAUGUACUUUAUGAAUAAGGAUCGGCUAACUCCGUGCCAGCAGCCGCGGUAAUACGGAGGAUUCGAGCGUUAUCCGGAUUUAUUGGGUUUAAAGGGUGCGUAGGUGGGCUGGUAAGUUAGUUGUGAAAGCUCGGGGCUCAAUGGUGGAAUUGCAAUUGAUACUGGCAGUCUAGAGUACAGUUGAGGUAGGCGGAAUGCGUGGUGUAGCGGUGAAAUGCUUAGAUAUCACGCAGAACACCGAUUGCGAAGGCAGCUUACUAACCUACCACUGACGUUGAGGCUCGAAAGUGUGGGUAUCAAACAGGAUUAGAUACCCUUGUAGUC
rnacentral:rRNA from 1 species